UUCACAUAGUAUGCUGGAGAAUGCUCACAUUGAUUUUGUUAUUUUCUGUUCAUAUCUGCUAAGAUGUAUGUAGCUGUCAUAAACAGUUAAUCAAUCCUUUCUCUUUUCUUACUCAUAUUUUGUCAUUAAGAAUAUACAUUUAGGUAAUCAUACCAUGUGAGUUAUUAAGCUUCAUGUCAGUGAACAAAUUUGCAAUUGGGUUAGUCUACUGUACUUUUAACUCUGAUUCGAUGGUGAUGGAUAAUGGCUUUUAGGUAUCAAAAAAGAGUUGUUUAUUGAUAGUGAUAUGGAUAACACAAGGGUUGCUAUUGCCAAUAUAUAGUUUGGUUUCAAAUUUCAAGUUUAUCGGCUUUCAAGAAAUCUCACAACAUUUUUUGUUUGCAGUUUCUAGAAAAUUUAAGUUUCCUAGUUCAGUUCUUAGUUACUGAUUUUAGAAUCUGCUUUCAAUCGUAUGUAGCGAAUUGGCCAUUUCAUUUGUGAGGAAGGGUUUUAUGUGUUCUAGGCCUAUAAAAAUGAUUUGAUCCUUAACUGGUAGAUAGCUGUGUGCUUUGAAAAUUGUAAAUACCACAUUCUAUGAACUGUGAGCAGUACCAUGAUGUAUUAUUAUUCAUGUUGUUUUUGUUUCAAAAGCUUUUCACAUUGAUUUGAUUUUGUUGAUGUUGAUAAAGACAAUAUGCAAGAACUUGGCAAGAAAAUGGAAGACUAGCUCCUCUUCAAGUGUGUGCCAAGAGUAGAUGCAAAAAGUUCUAUGACAGAUAAAUUUGAAGAAGCUUUAAGCCAAUGGACUGAAUUAAAUGAGUGCAAGGACAGAAGCACCUAAAGCUAAGUCUGAAUGAUCGCGAGUUUGACAACCUUGGAUGCAUAGUCUUUCACAGUGGUUUAGAGCUUCCGAUGAGGUGGAGGGGGGUUGAUCUGCUAGGUUAACACUCAAACGCUCAAGUCAGUAAAAAGAAUGAAAAAUGAAGUUUGAAAGAGAAAGGAUUUAAAUACAUGUGAAACGGUGAUCUCUUCUUUAAAUAGGAGGAUCGGUUAACAACCAAACGCAUGUGAUGAGGAGUGAGAUGGGUUCAGUCAUCAGAUCAACCUAGACGACUAAGAUAGGGCUUACGGGAGAGAUUACCUGCUUGGUGGGGAAAGGGAGUCCACCUGUUCUAAGCCAAACGCCGCCCUUCAUCGAUAUUGGACUUCCGCAUCUUUGGGCCUUAUGAACGGCCCGGAACAGAUGGACUUCCGCGCCUUUGAGCCAUAUGAUCGGCCCGGAACAGUUUGUGUCAAAUUGUUACUUUAUUGAUGGAUAAAACUUAAUUCUCGUUGAACGUGGUUUAGGAUUAGACCAACAAAGUACCAACAAAGAUGAACUUAUGCUCGGUUUUUUGUCUCCUUUAUAAAAGUAAAAGUUCUAUUGUAAUACUACUAAUUAAGUAAUGAAUUAAAACAUACUAUUAA